UGGGAAACUGAUACAUGGGCAGUUCUGAACUAUGCACUGUUCAUCACAAGCUUUCCCAAGAUAAUACUUGCUUUCUGAUGACCGGGGCGAAUUGAGAGAAAUCGCAACGGACAGAUACGGAGCAGACAGUC